rnacentral:rRNA from 1 species
UACGGAGGGUGCAAGCGUUAAUCGGAAUUACUGGGCGUAAAGCGCACGUAGGUGGUUUUCUAAGUCAGCUGUGAAAACUCGAGGCUCAACCUCGAGACGUCGGUUGAAACCACCUGGCUAGAGUCCGGAAGAGGAGUGUGGAAUUCCCGGUGUAGCGGUGAAAUGCGCAGAUAUCGGGAAGAACACCCGUGGCGAAGGCGGCACUCUGGGACGGUACUGACGCUGAGACGCGAAAGCGUGGGGAGCGAACAGG